CUACGUAGGGUGCAAGCGGUAAUCGGAAUUACUGGGCGUAAAGCGUGCGCAGGCGGUCUUGUAAGACAGGUGUGAAAUCCCCGGGCUUAACCUGGGAACUGCACUUGUGACUGCAAGGCUUGAGUACGGCAGAGGGGGAUGGAAUUCCGCGUGUAGCAGUGAAAUGCGUAGAUAUGCGGAGGAACACCGAUGGCGAAGGCAAUCCCCUGGGCCUGUACUGACGCUCAUGCACGAAAGCGUGGGGAGCAAACAGGAUUAGAAACCCUAGUAGUCC
rnacentral:rRNA from 1 species